GGUGAGGGACAGCUGCGUCGCGGUGAAGCCUUUACGGAACGGCGAGACGUGGAAGAGACUAAGUUCUCAGACGAGACCCCGGGCGGCUCCGGAAGUCUGCGUUUCUGGGAAGUGCGGGGCGCGUCUGUCUCGGGCUGUUCCCCGAAGUACUGGUGCCGCCGCCUCAGCGCAGUCUGGGUGUGUGUGAGCGACGGCGGCCCUUGGUUUUCCUUUCAUUUCUCUGCCUCGUACUCCCCAGACCCCCAGAUUAAAGGAAGUCACAUCAGCAAGUUUUAAAAACUACUGUUUGAGUCCCCGUGUUGGGGUAUUUGUCAUCCUUCCUGCCGGGCGGAGGAGGCCUCGUUCUUACAGGGCGGACACUCCCGAGCUGAAGCUGGCAGGAGGACCGUCCUGCCCUGAGUGGCUGUGACUGGUCCCGCACGGUGACGGCAGGAGAGAGGAUGCUGAUCGUGGUGUCUCCAGGAACCUGAGCUCCUCCUAAUUCCUCUCUGACCUGGGCUGCCGGAUCCGCAGUCCGCGGGCCGCGGUCUGGGCCGUCUUCCCCUUCCGAGUCCUUCCGGCCUCCGUAGUCACCUCGCGCCCCUCCUUCCCUCGGUCAGCCUUGUUAGUUCUUGCUGCUUCCCAACGGUCAGUAGGUUGUGUUUCCCGCCCUCUGGUCUUGGUCACACUGUCUGUUCUUAGAUUCCCUUUUUCUACUUCCUUUCCUGCCUCGCGGGGGACACGGUGGAGGAGACAGUUCAGUGCCUCGGGCGGAGCAGUGGGUCCUGACGCCUUGGGUAGCUCCUGCGGUCCGGCCCCGGCGCCCCAGCUCAGCAGUCCUGAUGCGUUAGCAAGCACCUGGGUCUGUCCCAAGCUCCUCUCUGCUAGAGACUCUGUGGCCUCUGGUUUCUGGUCGCCUUAGGGGGCAACCGGAGCAGCUGAAAACCAAAACCAACCAAACAAAAUCAGAAUUCGCAAAGCCAGUGGAGUGUGAACAGAGGAGGCAGAGCCGAAGGUGUCCCCUCACCCAGGUCCGGAGCCCCUGUCCUGUCUGUGGCCUUUUGCUGUUGCACAUCACGUGUGUUCGGGGAGCGCUGGGCAGUCGUACGGGUGCGCCUGUUUGUAAACGAGGCGUGCCGCUCGGGCUUGCGUGCGUGCCACGGACAUUUGGCACUUGGUGGUAUUUUAAGAUUGUUAGUGUUUCCCAAAGACGUUGUUUUAGAGGAGUUUUACGUGUACUGGAAACGCGGACACGAAGUGCAGAGGCUUCCCCUGGACCCGCCUCCUGCCAGGCGGCCUGUUGCAAGUAGCGCCUUCUGUCAGGGGCUGCGGUCGCUACAGCUGAUGCUUCGAACACCUGACGGUGUCCACACGUGCGCUCAAGCCCGCGGUCGUGUCGGGGUUCCUGUCCGUGCCGUACAGGCUGUGGGUUGUGACAGACACGUGUCCCGCGCCCGUUUUUACAGUGUCGGAGAGUAGUUUGCCUGCCCUGAGAACGUCUCACCUUCCACCUGUUCAUCCUUCCUCCCCCCAGCCUCCGACAACCCCGCAUCUGGCUGGUUCUCUGGUUUCGGUCAGUUGUAUUUUCAGAAACCCACCGAAUCUGAGCUAAAUCGGAUGAACAAGGAGCGCGGAAAGCUGGAGAGCUGAGCUGGCCUUUGCAGAGGGACGCGGAAAGUAUCUGUGUGUGGCUCUUGGCUACUCCUGGCCAGAGGCACCUCGUGCGGUUUGCGGCGCGUCUGCAAAGGAAUCCGCGCGGGCCUGUUCGGGGUCUUCCUAAGACGAGACACUCACGUGCUGAAGAACCGGCUGCGCAGCUCCCACUCCUCGAGGGGGGCAGAAGCCAGGCCUGCCAUGGUCCUGGGCCACCUCCGCGAGGCAGGGGGCUGGAACCAAGCAGAUGCUUGUCUGAAGCUACAGAAAGCGUUUCCGUGACUCUGUGGUCACAUACACCAGACGAAAGGCGCACGUUUCCUGUCUUCUCGCAGAAAAGCGCGUGUGGACAGGAGACCGCCUGCAGAAUGGCGGUGACGGUGACGAGAGUGGGAACAGCAGCAGUGCCGUCUCUGUCACCUUGCGGCUCGGAGGACUUGUCUGGUCUCGAGUGUGGCUCCAGGCCGCUCUGACCGCGUCCGGAUCUGUGCAGCCCCCCAAGCACUGCCUGCCCCCGCCGCGGACCUCACUGGGCCGAGGGCGCUGGUCCGAGGGGACGAGCCGCUAGGGAACCCCCGCCCCGGGAGGCCAUCAGCGAGCGCGUGCGCUAUUCUGUUGCUGCUGGGUUACUGCGACGGGGCCGGCGUCAUUUGUGGGCAUUAAAGACGCGCAGUGAGGCAGAGAGCCCAGGGCACUGGGCGGCCGAGUCCAUUGAGCACAGCUCCCCGUGCCUUCACUUUGUGCAGCGAUGACGGGGUGGCUCUGCCCAGGCGGGAUCGCCCUUGCCGGCCAUCGGGCCGUGGGGACCCUCGCUGCCCGGGUGCUCUGGACAAUUCCUGCCCGUCUCAGAUGGCCUCCCGACCCCCGGCGGGCAGGACUGUCUCGUGUGGUCCCGCGUUGUACGUUGUGCGUUUCGUGGGUGUGACCUCAGCGUGAACCGUCCAGAACUCCCCAGAACGUGGGUUAGACGACGGUAACAGCCGCCACCCAGUGAAUUUGAGCCCAUGUGUCUCUGUGCCCGGUCAGCUGGCCGCCGGGAGGUAAACGAGAAGGUAAUUUCCCAUUCACUACGUUAGUGACGCAUAAAGGACAAUCCUGCGGCCGUUGGGCAGUUGAGGGCGUGUGACACCGUCUGCCUGAAACCCAUGGUGCUGACGGCUGAGGCAGGAGCCCGGGGCGCUGUGAUGUUCAUGCCCUUGGCAGGCCCGCGAUGCUCCUCCGGGGUGGCGAGACCAAGCCCUGAGCUGCCACCUGGGGUCGGCUGCUGGGUGCGUGUCGGCUCCGGGACUCUGCGUGCGCCUGUGGUUGAGCCGAAUCCCGGGAAAGAGACGUUCGUCACGGAAGGUCAGGGUCACCCUGUGGCUGAGUGACGGGGGCAGUCCUGUGUCCGUCUCCGGUGUCAGCUGCCCUUCCCGCGGGAGACGGCGGUCUGCCUGACAGCCAUGCUGGGGCCCGGGGGUUUGUCAGUGUGGCCUUCCUGACACGUCCGUCCCUUAGGUAGCCGUCGUCCCGUGUUACAGCGCAGGCUUCGUGUGUGGGAUGCCCGGCUCUGCAGCUGAGGGGCGCGGGACCUCCCGGCCUCCGCGGCCGGCCGUCAGUGCGCGCGUAAGCGGAGCGGCGAGGCUGCCUGUGGGGCCGCUGUGCUCAGAGGAGCCUGUAGCGUGGCCCGGCCUCCCCGCCUGGCCGCGCGGUGUGCGGCCCCUCGGCUCCGACGGAGCCCCAUGUCCCCGUAACCUCCUGCUGGGUGUGUAGAAACGAAACCUCACAAAGUCUGUCUGUAGCGAUAAUGAAGUUUUUGCAGAAUGUCCACACUCGGUGGGUUUGGGCCAUCAUCUGAGUCAAUGGCAGGCAAGGCCGUCUGUUUCCGGGCAAGAGAGAGGGGCCGGCCCUGCGGGAUCGGGAUCGCAUGUCCUCUGGACGGACUCUGCUGGCUUUAGAGGAGCUGUUCACGGACCCGAUUGUGCCUUUCUAACUUAUUUCCAGGUUCCGUUAAAGUUCAGAGGUCCCAGCCCCCCUUUAUUUGUAAACAUUGAUCCUCGUUUCCCUGUCUUUGCUACGGUGGGGCCUCUCCCUGUCGGUGGGGCUCUGGGGACACGGGGCGGGCACCCGGCUGGGCCCCGGCGGCCAGGACUGACCGGCACGGCGGCUCUGCCAUCAGCCACCCACAGUACCGAGGUUGGUACUCACUGUGCGGCGGGCGGACGAGCCGGGCGGCGCUUACUCUGUGUGCAGCCUCCGUUUCUGCGCAGUGUCACUCCCGUGGUGGCUGCGGGGACGUCUGCCAGGAAGAGUAGUGGCCCCGACUGCAUUCGUCCCGUGUCGUGUGCUGUGCACAGACGAGCCUCCAGCGUCCAGAGGCGGGUGACGUCCCAGAUGUGGUCUCGCUGUUGUUUUCCGCCCUGGGUGGGUUGACGAUGACGCGGGGUCUAGGGGAGCCACGAGCUGCCGCCGCCUGGGAGCCCGAGCAGGGGACAGCAAGCCCUGCGGACGGCCGAGAGUGUGGUGGGGUGAGACGGGUUGCCGUGGACGGCUUUGGGGAGCACACGCCGCUGGAGGGGGCACGUGCCUCUGGACGUCCCUCCUGCUUUCGCACGGCUCUCCGGGGUGGGAAGCUGCGGCCCGUGGCGUGGGCUGGCCCCCCAGGGUGGGACACGGGAGUCGGCUCCAUCACAGGGCUGUGGGGCACGUUGGGGACCUUUCCCUCCACACACAGACACACACACACACACACACACUCACACUCGGAUGCUUUACCUUCCCGGCCUUGGGAGCUUUGUCUCCUGGGCCAUGGCCAGGGAGGCUGUGUGCGCCUGGCUCAGGCGGGUCAGGUCCGAGCCGGGCGGGUCUCCUGGCCUGGGUCCCCUUGGCCACAGUAGCUCGUUGCGAGACACGUGACUUGCCCAGCCAGGUGUGUGAAUCUGUUUAACGGAACAGACGUGGGGGGAUAGUGUCAUGGUCCCUCGUCCUGCGGGCCCGGAUUGACGCAGCCGUUACCAACCAGGAGACUUCCCGAGGCGGCCGUGCUGCUCUCCGUGCUGAUGGCCCACGGCCCGCUCCCCGCCAGGGCUGCCGUUCCGCAAGCAGGUCGCCGACUCUGUCCCGGUGAACCGAGUCCCCGGUGCGUGCGGACCCCACGAGGCGCAGGCGCGACUGCAGACGACGGCGAUCUCUGAGUUAAACAGCUGGUCGGAGGUGUCGCCCCCCCCCCCCCACGCACGCAGACGCUCCCUUUACCUGCUUGGAAGUCACCUGUCCGAGGACCCGGUCUCUCUCUGGCGUUGCCUGCGGCUGGGUCUCCCGGCUGCGGCACGCCGUGGGGUUCGGUGCCUCUGUUCUCGGGGUGUGGAACCGGCGUUGGCUGUGGAGGCUGCAUCAGGUCAGACUCGGGGUCUCUGUGCGAGGUCACUGUGUGGGGGCCGCCCGGGGUUUCAGGGCGGUGGCCGGUGACUCCGGACCGGGUUGAGGGUGACGCUGUCUUCCCCGCAGCUUCCGCGCUCGUGUGAAGACACGGGGUUAGCCUGGAGGAAGCGGGAGUGUGGAUUCCUUCCGUGUCCCAGUUCUUAGAGUGACAUCCGUCCCUAACGGCGAGGUAUUCAUUCAGUCUUCCGUUCUGCGCGGUCACAGAUUUCAGCGUAUUUGUGGGGUUUCUGUCCCUGCAGUUGCAACCCCGUCGUCUCUCCAGUGUCCCGUGUUGUCCCGUGUUGUUCCGUGUGGUGUUUCCCCAAACUGGCUGCCCUUUGGCUGUGGCCGGGGGAGUCUGCCAGAGCUUCCUUGCCCCGUGACCGCGGAGGGGCCUCUGCUGGCGGGGACAGCCGGCCCUGGUGCCUUUCUGUGUGUCACGGGUGGAGCGAGACGCGGGGCCAGGAGCAGAGCUGGUGCUGAAGCCAGGGGCGCAGCGCAAGGGCUCUGGUCCGCACCUUGGGUAUGACCAGGGGCAAGUGUUCGUAAUCUGGCUCCUGCCCCGUUUCUGCGAGUCUGAAAUUGUGUCCGGACGGGAAGCGUCGUGGGUACGUUGAGGACCGCAGCAGUCGCGGUGCGAGCGCACGGGAACGUCCAGAGUGUGCCUGCGCCGGCAGGACCUCAGUGUGGGGCCGUCCUCUACGUACACUUAAAUUCCGUGGGAUUGUCCCGCUUCUGUACUUGGCUACAUGAGUUUUUCUUUCCGUC